rnacentral:rRNA from 1 species
AUCGAACGCUGGCGGCAGGCCUAAUACAUGCAAGUCGAACGAGUGGCGGACGGGUGAGCAAGGUAUUGGAAAGUGCGUGAUGUAGGGGGCAAACUAGUGUAAACGGUAGCUAAUACUGCAUCACGUCAGUUGUGCCCAGAUGGGAUUAGCUUGUCGGUGGGGUAACGGCUCACCAAGGCGACGAUCCCUAGCUGGUCUGCGAGGUAGAACGGCCACACUGGAACUGAGACACGGUCCAGACUCCUACGGGAGGCAGCAGUGGGGAAUAUUCCACAAUGGGCGCAAUCCUGAAGCAGCCAUGCCGCGUGUAUGAAGAAGGCCUUCGGGUUGUAAAGUUCUGUCGGCGGGGAGGCGUUUCCCGCAGAAGAAGCACCGGCUAACUCCGGGCCAGCAGCCGCGGUAAUAC